UCACUUUGGCAGCACAUAAACUAAAAUUAGAACAAUACAGAGAAAAUUAGCAUGGCCCCUGCACAAAGGUGGCACACAAAUUCUGUAGAGUGUUCUAUAGUGUU